rnacentral:rRNA from 1 species
GACGAACGCUGGCGGCGUGCCUAAUACAUGCAAGUUGAGCGCUGAAGGUUGGUACUUGUACCAACUGGUUGAGCAGCGAACGGGUGAGUAACGCGUGGGGAAUCUGCCUUUGAGCGGGGGACAACAUUUGGAAACGAAUGCUAAUACCGCAUAAAAACUUUAAACACAAGUUUUAAGUUUGAAAGAUGCAAUUGCAUCACUCAAAGAUGAUCCCGCGUUGUAUUAGCUAGUUGGUGAGGUAAAGGCUCACCAAGGCGAUGAUACAUAGCCGACCUGAGAGGGUGAUCGGCCACAUUGGGACUGAGACACGGCCCAAACUCCUACGGGAGGCAGCAGUAGGGAAUCUUCGGCGAUGGACGAGAGUCUGACCGAGCAACGCCGCGUGAGUGAAGAAGGUUUUCGGAUCGUAAAACUCUGUUGGUAGAGAAGAACGUUGGUGAGAGUGGAAAGCUCAUCAAGUGACGGUAACUACACAGAAAGGGACGGCUAACUACGUG